GACGAACGCUGGCGGCGUGCCUAAUACAUGCAAGUCGAACGAGAGCGACCGGUGCUUGCACUGGUCAAUCUAGUGGCGAACGGGUGAGUAACACGUGGGUAACCUGUCCAUCAGAGGGGGAUAACAUCCGGAAACGGAUGCUAAAACCGCAUAGGUCUUCGAGCCGCAUGGCUUGAAGAGGAAAAGAGGCGCAAGCUUCUGCUGAUGGAUGGACCCGCGGUGCAUUAGCUAGUUGGUGAGGUAACGGCUCACCAAGGCCGUGAUGCAUAGCCGACCUGAGAGGGUGAUCGGCCACAUUGGGACUGAGACACGGCCCAAACUCCUACGGGAGGCAGCAGUAGGGAAUCUUCCGCAAUGGACGCAAGUCUGACGGAGCAACGCCGCGUGAGUGAAGAAGGUUUUCGGAUCGUAAAACUCUGUUGUUAGAGAAGAACAAGUGCUAGAGUAACUGUUAGCGCCUUGACGGUAUCUAACCAGAAAGCCACGGCUAACUACGUG
rnacentral:rRNA from 1 species